rnacentral:rRNA from 1 species
ACGCACGCUGGCGGCGUGCUUAACACAUGCCAGUCGAACGGAAAGGCCCUGCUUUUGUGGGGUGCCCGAGUGGCGAACGGGUGAGUAACACGUGAGUAACCUGCCCUUGACUUUGGGAUAACUUCAGGAAACUGGGGCUAAUACCGGAUAGGAGCUCCUGCUGCAUGGGGGGGGUUGGAAAGUUUCGGCGGUUGGGGAUGGACUCGCGGCUUAUCAGCUUGUUGGUGGGGUAGUGGCUUACCAAGGCUUUGACGGGUAGCCGGCCUGAGAGGGUGACCGGCCACAUUGGGACUGAGAUACGGCCCAGACUCCUACGGGAGGCAGCAGUGGGGAAUAUUGCACAAUGGGCGGAAGCCUGAUGCAGCAACGCCGCGUGUGGGAUGACGGCCUUCGGGUUGUAAACCGCUUUCGCCUGUGACGAAGCGUGAGUGACGGUAAUGGGUAAAGAAGCACCGGCUAACUACGUG